CCUUUGGAUUAAUUUACUCAUUUAAUCCUCUAAUCAACUCUUUAAGGAAAGUGCUACUGUCCCUAUUUUUUCAGAUGAGGAAACCAUGGCAGAGAGGUCAGCUACAAAUGGUUCCGAAAAAGAAAGUGCACAGGACAUAGUGGCCCUUGAAAAAUAGUCGGCGCUGUCAUUAUAGAGUAUUACCUGCAAAUGGGCGUCAAUAAUGAUAACCUUCACGAUAACACACUGGAGGCUCAGGCUAUGCAGAGGCCAUCGGAAGUCCCCACACCACAGCCCCAGCCAUGCAUCUGCUGGGCCGGAGUAAACAGGAAGCAGCAAGCUGACUACAGAACAAUGCCUUGGCCUACUCAGCUGUCUCUUUUGUGUACAGAAGUGGCUUAGGUGUCCCUGUGAUUGGGGGUGGCCAAGGAAAGUCCUUCACACCUGCAGAAGGACAUCAUAGGUCAUCAAGAACUCACAUAGUGUGCCAGGCUUGCUGCCAAGGCAUAAACACAGGCAAUAAACUCUCG
rnacentral:lncRNA from 1 species